ACUCCCUUAUCUCAACGGUAGAGAAGCGGACUUAUAACCCGUAUUAGCACCAGAUUAGUGCAUGAUGUCCGUUCGAAUCGGACAGGGAGUA
rnacentral:tRNA from 1 species